AACACAGAGGAAUUAUGUGUUUUGCGGACUUUUAAUCCGUUGGUCGCGAGUUCGAAUCUCGCCCGACCCACCA
rnacentral:tRNA from 1 species